GAUGAACGCUGGCGGCGUGCCUAAUACAUGCAAGUCGAGCGAACGGACGAGAAGCUUGCUUUUCUGAUGUUAGCGGCGGACGGGUGAGUAACACGUGGAUAACCUACCUAUAAGACUGGGAUAACUUCGGGAAACCGGAGCUAAUACCGGAUAAUAUUUUGAACCGCAUGGUUCAAAAGUGAAAGACGGUCUUGCUGUCACUUAUAGAUGGAUCCGCGCUGCAUUAGCUAGUUGGUAAGGUAACGGCUUACCAAGGCAACGAUGCAUAGCCGACCUGAGAGGGUGGUCGCCCAGCCUGGAACUGAGAAACGGUCGAGACUCCUACGGGGGGCAGCAGUAGGGAAUCUUCCGCGAUGGACGAGAGCCGGACGGAGCAAAGCCGCGUGAAUGAUGAAGGUCUUAGGAUCGGAGAACGCUGUUAUUAGGGAAGUACAUAAGUGUAAGGAACUGUGCAGAUCUUGACGGUACCUAAACAGAAAGCCACGGCUAACUACGUG
rnacentral:rRNA from 1 species